rnacentral:rRNA from 1 species
AAAUUGAAGAGUUUGAUCAUGGCUCAGAUUGAACGCUGGCGGCAGGCCUAACACAUGCAAGUCGAACGGUAACAGGAAACAGCUUGCUGUUUCGCUGACGAGUGGCGGACGGGUGAGUAAUGUCUGGGAAACUGCCUGAUGGAGGGGGAUAACUACUGGAAACGGUAGCUAAUACCGCAUAACGUCGCAAGACCAAAGAGGGGGACCUUCGGGCCUCUUGCCAUCGGAUGUGCCCAGAUGGGAUUAGCUUGUUGGUGGGGUAACGGCUCACCAAGGCGACGAUCCCUAGCUGGUCUGAGAGGAUGACCAGCCACACUGGAACUGAGACACGGUUCAGACUCCUACGGGAGGCAGCAGUGGGGAAUAUUGCACAAUGGGCGCAAGCCUGAUGCAGCCAUGCCGCGUGUAUGAAGAAGGCCUUCGGGUUGUAAAGUACUUUCAGCGGGGAGGAAGGGAGUAAAGUUAAUACCUUUGCUCAUUGACGUUACCCGCAGAAGAAGCACCGGCUAACUCCGUGCCAGCAGCCGCGGUAAUACGGAGGGUGCAAGCGUUAAUCGGAAUUACUGGGCGUAAAGCGCACGCAGGCGGUUUGUUAAGUCAGAUGUGAAAUCCCCGGGCUCAACCUGGGAACUGCAUCUGAUACUGGCAA